GGACCUGUGCGCGGCGUUACACAGUGGCGCACGGGUGCGUAACGCGUGGGAAUCUGCCCCUUGGUUCGGGAUAACAGUUGGAAACGACUGCUAAUACCGGAUGACGACGUAAGUCCAAAGAUUUAUCGCCGAGGGAUGAGCCCGCGUAGGAUUAGCUAGUUGGUGUGGUAAAGGCGCACCAAGGCGACGAUCCUUAGCUGGUCUGAGAGGAUGAUCAGCCACACUGGGACUGAGACACGGCCCAGACUCCUACGGGAGGCAGCAGUGGGGAAUAUUGGACAAUGGGCGAAAGCCUGAUCCAGCAAUGCCGCGUGAGUGAUGAAGGCCUUAGGGUUGUAAAGCUCUUUUACCCGGGAUGAUAAUGACAGUACCGGGAGAAUAAGCUCCGGCUAACUCCGUGCCAGCAGCCGCGGUAAU
rnacentral:rRNA from 1 species